AGAUUUUGAAUUGUAAGCAAAAUCAGGGGAGAGCGCGAACGCAGUCCCCCACUACCAGAAAUUAUGCAGUCGAGAUUCCCACAUUUGGGGAAUUCGCAGGGGUCAGCACAACCGGAGUGCAAUGGCUGAGCCUCACCCUGGGUGAACCACCUUCUUGAUCAUGGUAUCUCCCCUGCCAGGUAAGUAUGAGUUGUACACGGUCGCCGGGCCGAUGUCUUUACCACACACACCAUCUUCAGUCACGGUCUUAUUUGGUACAAACGUGUGAACUCACUCAGUGGAUAAGGUAGCAUUCGAAGAACUGUUUACAUAGUACUUUUUAUCAUUACAGUAAUCAAACCAUUAUAAAUUAUGUUUAAAAACAAUAUUCUGCAAAAUA